AUGCAUGCACUAGCUGUUCCUUGCAUCGUCCGAGGCUUUAAAUUUGCAUGCAAUAUUAAUCUGGAGAGAAAAUCAAGGGGCUUUCCUAGCAGGGGCCUUGUAAAACCAUACACGUGUGUGCUCCUGACGGGACUAAUAAUCCCAGACGAAGAUCCGGCCCGCCCAGGCCCGAGUGCCGCCGCUGCCACCACCAGCGCCCGCAGGACGCCCUCCUCCUCCCGGACGCUUCCUCCCUGGCCCGUCGCCCACUCCCAGUCCUCCCUCGUGCGUCGUCCGGCGACCGGCGCCGCCGCCGGCAACCACCCAGGAGCUCAGUGCCAGCACCAUGGAUGCCCAGUCCUCGAGCUCACCUUGGAGGUUCGAACGCCGCCACGGGACCUUCACCGGCCAGAUCCGGCGCCUCCCUCCCGGAUCCGCGCGCCCUCCAUCUCCUCUACUCGAUCCGGCGCCGCCCAACCCCCCAUGACCUCCACCAUGGCGCCCGCCGAGAUCCUGUGCAUCCUCUCCGUCGAUGCGCCGUCGUCGCAUGAGGACUUGGACGCCUGGCUCGCUGACAACCUCCCCCAAAUCCUACAGGAGGUUCAGCGACAAAAUUCAGUUGGUGCUACUAUGUAUCAGUCAAGGGAAUGGGGGAUCCGCGUCAGGUGGCUGCGGAUGAGCGGCUGGGUAAAAUUGGAGCGGAGCCAGGAUGUUCAUGGGAGCCUUCGGCGGGCUGAUUGGCCUCCCCGGCCCAUGAGUAUCUUCUAUGUUGCAAGCAAAGAUGAUGAAACACCUGGACCAUCUUGCACGCGAUGGGCGUUCCGCAGCGUGUUCAGAAUAAUACUUUGCAAGGGACAGCAGCUCGACGUCGAUCAGCAGCAGCAGGUCAUUGUUCUGCUGGCACUCACUUCACUUGAACGGCUGGACCAGAUGAUAGUGGAUAACUGGAUAUACGCAGUGCAGUAUAUUGCUAUAAGGUUGCGUAGCUAUAAGGGCAAAAGGAUGUUGUCAGAAGGAAAGGUGGUCGAGCAGCUCGUGACAUAUGUGUCGCGCCUGCUCUGCAGCUGCCUUGACCCGCCGCCGACGUCGCCGGUUGAGACGCAAGGGUGCAAGAUCAUCGUGGGGCCCAUUGCAUGGGCGCAAAGUAUGCUUGAUUGCCAUGUCUGUGACAAGUCGUGUGAGAUGAACAUGGUGAACCAUCUCAAUGUGAAGCCAAAGAUGAUUCAAAAAUUGCUUGCAGAUAGGCAGUUGGAUGUCAAGGAGGCCGAAGCCUGUUGUGCCAAAACUAACACAUUAGAAUCUUACAAUUUGCUGCUACCAUAUUUCAAUGUUUGA
rnacentral:rRNA from 1 species